CGAAUAGCUAAGUGGUUAUAGCAGAUGACUAAAAAUCACCGUUCGCGGGUCCGAAUCCCGCUUCAA
rnacentral:tRNA from 1 species